rnacentral:rRNA from 1 species
AUUGAACGCUGGCGGCGUGCCUAAUACAUGCAAGUCGAACGGAGUGGCGCACGGGUGAGAAAUAUAUAGCUAAUCUGCCCCUUGCUGGAGGACAACCGUCAGAAAUGACUGCUAAUACUCCAUAGCAAGGGAUGAGACGAUAUCGUAUCAGCUAGUCGGUGGGGUAACGGCCUACCGAGGGUAUGACGCGUAACUGGUCUGAGAGGAUGAUCAGUAAAAUUGUAAGUGAGACAGGGUCGAAAAUCAUACGAGAGGGAGCAGUAGGGAGUAGUGCCCAAUGGGGGAAAACCUGACGCAGCAUCGCCGCGUGGAGGAUGACAAUUUUCGGAGAGUAAACUCAUGUUGUUAGGGAAGCGUUACCUAACGAAUAAGCACCGGCUAACUCCGUGCCAGCCGCCGCGGUAAUAC